UGAUCCAGCCAUCCCGCGUGAAGGACGACGGCCCUAUGGGUUGUAAACUUCUUUUGUAUAGGGAUAAACCUUUCCACGUGUGGAAAGCUGAAGGUACUAUACGAAUAAGCACCGGCUAACUCCGUGCCAGCAGCCGCGGUAAUACGGAGGGUGCAAGCGUUAUCCGGAUUUAUUGGGUUUAAAGGGUCCGUAGGCGGACUCGUAAGUCAGUGGUGAAAUCUCAUAGCUUAACUAUGAAACUGCCAUUGAUACUGCGGGUCUUGAGUAAGGUAGAGGUAGCUGGAAUAAGUAGUGUAGCGGUGAAAUGCAUAGAUAUUACUUAGAACACCAAUUGCGAAGGCAGGUUACCAUGUCUUAACUGACGCUGAUGGACGAAAGCGUGGGGAGCGAACAGGAUUAGAUACCCUGGUAGUCCACGCCGUAAACGAUGCUAACUCGUUUUUGGGGCUUCGGCUUCAGAGACUAAGCGAAAGUGAUAAGUUAGCCACCUGGGGAGUACGAACGCAAGUUUGAAACUCAAAGGAAUUGACGGGGGCCCGCACAAGCGGUGGAUUAUGUGGUUUAAUUCGAUGAUACGCGAGGAACCUUACCAAGGCUUAAAUGGGAAUUGACAGGUUUAGAAAUAGACUUUUCUUCGGACAAUUUUCAAGGUGCUGCAUGGUUGUCGUCAGCUCGUGCCGUGAGGUGUUAGGUUAAGUCCUGCAACGAGCGCAACCCCUGUCACUAGUUGCUAGCAUUAAGUUGAGGACUCUAGUGAGACUGCCUACGCAAGUAGAGAGGAAGGUGGGGAUGACGUCAAAUCAUCACGGCCCUUACGCCUUGGGCCACACACGUAAUACAAUGGCCAGUACAGAGGGCUGCUACCAGGUGACUGGAUGCUAAUCUCGAAAGCUGGUCUCAGUUCGGAUUGGAGUCUGCAACUCGACUCUAUGAAGCUGGAAUCGCUAGUAAUCGCGCAUCAGCCAUGGCGCGGUGAAUACGUUCCCGGGCCUUGUACACACCGCCCGUCAAGCCAUGGAAGUCUGGGGUACCUGAAGUCGGUGACCGUA
rnacentral:rRNA from 1 species